rnacentral:rRNA from 1 species
UACCCGCAGCACAAGUGGUGGUCAUUAUUCUUGGGCCUAAAGCGUCCGUAGCUGGCUUGUUAGAUGCCUGGGUAAAUCGAUGCGCUUAACGCAUCGAAUUCCGGGUAGACCGGCAAGCUCGAGACCGGGAGAGGUGUAGGCUACUCGAGGGGUAGGGGUAAAAUGCUGUAAGCCUGCGGGGAGGACCAGUGGCGAAGGCGCUACACGAGAACGGCUCUGACAGUGAGGGACGAAGCCCUGGGGCGCAAACCGG